GAUGAACGCUGGCGGCGUGCCUAAUACAUGCAAGUUGAGCGCUGAAGGGUGGUACUUGUUUCUACUGGAUGAGCAGCGAACGGGUGAGUAACGCGUGGGUAAUCUGCCUAUGAGAGGGGGACAACAUCUGGAAACGAAUGCUAAUACCGCAUAAUAUCUUUAAACACAAGUUUUAAGAUUGAAAGAUGCUCUUGCUUCAACUAAUGGUGAUAUCGCGUUGGCUUAGCUAGUUGGUGAAGUAAAGGCCCUACAAAGCCAACGUUCAUAAGCCACCUGGGGGGGGGAUCGGCCACAUUUGGACUUGGACACGGCCCAAACCCCUUCCGGAGGCAACAAGAGGGAAACUUUGGGAAUUGACGAAAGGCUGGCCGAGCAACGCCGCGUGAGGUGAUAAGGGUUUCGGAUCGUAAAACUCUUUUUGUAGAGAAGAAAGUUGGGUGUAAGUGAAUGCUCAUCAAUUGACGGUAACUACCCAGAAAGCGACGGCUAACUACGUG
rnacentral:rRNA from 1 species